GCGCAGGAAUGCGCGUUACGGUUAAAUAGUGGGGGCGCAGGGGCGGCCGCCGCGGGCAGGCGGCGGCGGCUUAGGGCACCAGGAGAGUCUCCAUGGCGCGGCGUAGCUCCCGGAGCGGUGGCAUCAGCGGCAGAGGCGGCGCGGCGCUGUUGUGACAGCGGCGGGGACUGGCCCUCCUCCAGCCUCGCUCCCGAGCGGGGGCCCCGCGCCGGUGUCCCAGGGGCGCGGCGCCGGCGCUCGCAGAGAGGAGCCGUGGCGGCAGCAGCGGCGGCCGGGGGCAGCCGGCGUGUCACCGCCUCUAUGAUGAAAUUCAAGCCGAAUCAGACGCGGACGUACGACCGGGAGGGCUACAAGAAGCGGGCGGCGUGCCUGUGCUUCCGCAGCGAGCGGGAGGACGAGGUGCUGUUGGUAAGCAGUAGCCGAUACCCAGAUCAGUGGAUUGUACCAGGUGGAGGAAUGGAACCAGAAGAAGAGCCAGGGGGAGCAGCUGUGAGAGAGGUGUAUGAAGAGGCUGGAGUAAAGGGAAAGCUAGGCAGACUACUUGGGGUAUUUGAGCAGAACCAGGAUCGGAAGCAUAGGACGUACGUUUAUGUUCUUACUGUGACGGAAAUACUGGAAGACUGGGAGGAUUCAGUUAAUAUAGGAAGGAAAAGAGAAUGGUUUAAAGUAGAAGAUGCAAUCAAGGUCCUUCAGUGUCACAAGCCUGUUCAUGCAGAAUACUUGGAAAAACUGAAACUGAGCUGUUCACCUACUAAUGGAAACUCUGUGGUUCCCCCUCUUCCAGAUAAUAACUCCUUAUAUGUCACUUCUGCACAGACUUCUGGGUUGCCCUCUACUGUGAGAUAAACAUUUGGAUUACCUUUUUAUCCGUGUCAUCACGACAGGAGACAUCUGUGAUAACAUAUGAAGUGCUAAGACCCUUAAGCUGGCAGUAUUUGGGUAAAUGGAUGUGUUGAAGGCAGAGAUGCACAAGGGUGACUACAACAAAGCACUAAACCUCAUUCAGCCUGUCAAGAGCAAAGGAUACCAACACUAAGCACUGCUUGCCUCACUUAUCCAAAAGGUUGCCUUGUCCUAUGCAAUCUUCAUGUAACAUAUAACUAGGGCGUGAACAGUAACUUUGUCUUGCAGCUACCAAAACUGUCCACUAGACAUUUGUUUCAUCACUUGGUCAGCUGGUGAACUGUCAGAAGAUUUGUGUGAGAAAAGCAUUGUAGAUCUUUCUUACCCCCUUUUUUUUUUUCCUUUUAACCUUGAUACAUGUUUUGUUCAUGAUGUGAUUACACUGCAGGUUCCAAAAACUUCAAUUAGAAAUAUCUCAUGUAGUGUUCCUGCAGUCUGUUGCAAUUUAAAAAUGUUUGGAGGAAAAUAAGACUUAACCAGGGGCACCCUUAGGUUGCAGAGGUGUCUAUUAUCAAGCAUGUGUUGAGGUGCCUUGCCCUGCAGGAGCUGGUAGUGCUGCCUCCAGUGCUUGGGACAGGAGUCUUGAUAUCUACUUCAACCAUAGAGAAAUAAUACUCCUUUGUCUUAUUAGAAGGAGUGCUGAAACACCCUCCACCCCCCCACCCCUGCCCCCAUUUUAAGUUAAUUCUUGAAUUCUUCAGUUCUACUGUUUAAACAUCAAUUACUUUAGCAUCUUCAAAUAAAAGCUGGCCUCUUGGUAAAAAUGUAGUUGGAAUAAAUGAGGUACAGCUGACAACCUCCCUCUAAUUAUUUCUCCUGCUUUUUAUCAGAGAAGAUGAAAACUAAAUCCCCUGUAGGUCUUAACGUUUUUACCAUAGGGUUAUUCUCUCUGUAUGUGUGUGUGCAUGGUUUCUUCUACAAGAACACAAUCUAAUUCACAUGAACAUCCUACUUCUGAAUUUUUUCUAGGGUCUAAACCCAACUGUACCUCCUUUAUAUCCAGCCAAAACAGGUCGAGGUAGACCACUGCCUCCCAUGGGAAGUUUAUUCUGGGUAAAGUUCAUUCUCUUAUAGAACAUUUGAACUUUUGUAAAUAGUCCAACUAGUAAAUAGUUGAGUGUAAAAUGGAAAAUAAAUGUAAUUUAAACCUUUUGUUACUCAAUACACAAGUGGUUAACUUCUACUUUUUUAACACAAAUUGUGUAAAAUGCUGCUAUGAAUUUUUUUGUGCUGUUACACUUUUUUAGGAAAAAAUGUUAUUGCCAUAAGUUACUCCUAGAAAAACAAUCUUGUGCCAUAUGUAAAUGCAGUGAGACUAGGGAAACAGGUGAUCUGAUCUCUUAAUGCUGCUCUCUUUGACAAGUCAUAAAUACUACUGCGAAGGGGAGGCAUGAGCCAAAAAGCUGAAGACUUCUGAAACAGUGGGUAGGAUAAUGUUUGCCAUCCCUCUUAGCUCCUAGUCUGGGUCACUUCCAGAACUGGAAAGAACACACAGUUAAAUGUUCAGGUGCACCUAAAGGUGGAAGUAUUGCCAACAGCCUAUCCAUCCUUUCAGCCAUGAGGUGGGAGGCCAGGGAAGGAGCAUUGCUGUUUCAGCAGUGCACACAUGGGUACAUUUAUUUUAAACUGAACCUGUUCAGACUGGGACACCAUUUACUCAGCUCUCCACUUGAAACUGUUUAGCCUGGUGAAACAGAAGGUGGGGUUGAGCAUGAUGAAUAUCUGUAAAAUCAUACACAUGGUGUGGAAUGGUAACUCUGGCUUCAAAGCUGCCUUUAAAAGAAUGAAUCAUUUAGCUCCCUUUUUUGAUCACUUUAAUGGCUCACUUUUUUUGUUCAGUAGUUAACACUUUAAAUUGAGCAAACAUGUAUAGGCUUUCUUGUAACAAGAUUUUAUCUUUCAUGGAUUUGAUAUAACAGAAGCCAGAGUUUGAGUUUGUAUUCAUUUAAAAAAAAAAAAAAGCUGUCUCCAUUUCAGAUUUUUGGAAUGAAAUCAAUCCAAGCUUGUAUGAGAUUUAGUGGUAAUGCAUGAUCUUAUUUUAUAACUCUUGAAUUAUGUAUUUGAUAAUAAUGUAAAAUGUACAGUAUUGCUGUCGCUAACAAACUCAGAGUUGAUUGCCUAUAAAUAUUUUUGGUCACACACAUUUGAGCUGUUCAGUAGUGCCAGACAGGUGGUUUUUUUUUAAACAGCAUUUGUUGUAUAAAUCUCUUCAGUCUCUAUGCAAUGUUCAGAAUGAAGCUCUAUUGCUUUGAUUUAUACUCCCUUUCAAAGAGAAAUGUUUUGUGAAUCACAGAUGUAAACUGAAGACACUUUAGUUUUGCUACAGGGAACAACUAGUAAAGGUACUAAUGAAAUCUGACACUAAACUCCAACAGAAAGAGUUGUAAGAAUGGGAAUAGCAAGACCACAAUUUUUUCUACUACUUAUCAAUUUCAAUGUUAGAAGCAUUUUUUUUACAUGAAUCUCUAGUUUGAUGGGCCAAACCUAUUUCAAACAAAGCAAAUUUGGGAUUGUCAUGCCAAAAAUUCUGUACAUGUAUCCAGAUUUGGUUCUCCAGAGGAAAAAGGGAAGAGACAGGUUCUCACCUGCAAUUGUCAUAGUCUAGUUUGUACUGCUGCUUUUCCUGGCUGAUAGGUUUUUGAGAUUCUUGUGAGUUACAUUAUGGUGGAAUCAAAAGAAAAAGAGCCAUGAAGUGUAGCAUCUCACAGAGCCAGAAUUAAGCAAAAUGGAUGUGCUUUUAAAGACAAGAAAUCCUGAGGUAUUGCAGAGGCUGAUCAAGUGAAAAAUCUUAUUUUGGUGCUUACUGCACCCCUGACUUAGGCUAGCAUUGUUCUGUUAACAAUGUGCUGUGAAAAGAAAAAUUAGGGGGAGAUAUUUGCUUUACUUACCAGCAUGGUUUGUGAAGUGAAAACUGAAAGGAAGGGGG